AGGGCGCACGGUGGAUGCCUUGGCACUAGGAGCCGAAGAAGGACGUGACAAACGACGAAAUGCCUCGGGGAGCUGUAAGUAAGCACUUGAUCCGGGGAUGUCCGAAUGGGGGAACCCAACAGGUUGAUGCCUGUUACCCAUUUCUGUUAAGGGAAUGAGGAGGAAGACGCAGUGAACUGAAACAUCUAAGUAGCUGCAGGAAGAGAAAGCAAAAGCGAUUGCCUUAGUAGCGGCGAGCGAAACGGCAGGAGGGCAAACCGAAGAGUUUACUCUUCGGGGUUGUAGGACUGCAAUGUGGACUCAGAAUUUAUAGAAGAAUGACUUGGGAAAGUCAGCCAAAGAGAGUAAGAGCCUCGUAUUUUAAAUAGAUUCUGUACCUAGCAGUAUCCUGAGUACGGCGGGACACGUGAAAUCCCGUCGGAAUCUGGGAGGACCAUCUCCCAACCCUAAAUACUCCCUAGUGACCGAUAGUGAACCAGUACCGUGAGGGAAAGGUGAAAAGCACCCCGGGAGGGGAGUGAAAGAGAACCUGAAACCGUGUGCCUACAACAAGUUCGAGCCCGUUAAUGGGUGAGAGCGUGCCUUUUGUAGAAUGAACCGGCGAGUUACGUUAUGAUGCGAGGUUAAGUUGAAGAGACGGAGCCGUAGGGAAACCGAGUCUGAAUAGGGCGCUUUAGUAUCAUGAUGUAGACCCGAAACCAUGUGACCUACCCAUGAGCAGGUUGAAGGUGCGGUAAAACGCACUGGAGGACCGAACCAGGGCACGUUGAAAAGUGCUUGGAUGACUUGUGGGUAGCGGAGAAAUUCCAAACGAACUUGGAGAUAGCUGGUUCUCUCCGAAAUAGCUUUAGGGCUAGCGUCGACAUAAAGAUUCUUGGAGGUAGAGCACUGUUUGGGUGAGGGGUCCAUCCCGGAUUACCAAUCUCAGAUAAACUCCGAAUGCCAAUGAAUUAUGGUCGGCAGUCAGACUGCGAGUGCUAAGAUCCGUAGUCGAAAGGGAAACAGCCCAGACCACCAGCUAAGGUCCCAAAAUAAUUGUUAAGUGGAAAAGGAUGUGGGGUUGCACAGACAACUAGGAUGUUAGCUUAGAAGCAGCUAUUCAUUCAAAGAGUGCGUAAUAGCUCACUAGUCGAGUGACCCUGCGCCGAAAAUGUACCGGGGCUAAAACAAUUUACCGAAGCUGUGGAUACCUUUUAUAGGUAUGGUAGGAGAGCGUUCUAUGUGUGGAGAAGGUGUACCGUGAGGAGUGCUGGAACGCAUAGAAGUGAGAAUGCCGGUAUGAGUAGCGCAAGACAGGUGAGAAUCCUGUCCACCGUAAGACUAAGGUUUCCAGGGGAAGGCUCGUCCGCCCUGGGUUAGUCGGGACCUAAGGAGAGACCGAAAGGUGUAUCCGAUGGACAACAGGUUGAUAUUCCUGUACUAGAGUAUGUAGUGAUGGAGGGACGCAGUAGGCUAACUAAAGCAGACGAUUGGAAGAGUCUGUCUAAGCAGUGAGGUGUGAUAUGAGUCAAAUGCUUAAUUCUAUAACAUUGAGCUGUGAUGGGGAGCGAAGUUUAGUAGCGAAGUUAGUGACGUCACACUGCCAAGAAAAGCUUCUAGCGUUUAAACAUACUCUACCCGUACCGCAAACCGACACAGGUAGUCGAGGCGAGUAGCCUCAGGUGAGCGAGAGAACUCUCGUUAAGGAACUCGGCAAAAUGACCCCGUAACUUCGGGAGAAGGGGUGCUGACAACAGUCAGCCGCAGUGAAUAGGCCCAAGCAACUGUUUAUCAAAAACACAGCUCUCUGCUAAAUCGUAAGAUGAUGUAUAGGGGGUGACGCCUGCCCGGUGCUGGAAGGUUAAGAGGAGUGCUUAGCGUAAGCGAAGGUAUGAAUUGAAGCCCCAGUAAACGGCGGCCGUAACUAUAACGGUCCUAAGGUAGCGAAAUUCCUUGUCGGGUAAGUUCCGACCCGCACGAAAGGCGUAAUGAUUUGGGCACUGUCUCAACGAGAGACUCGGUGAAAUUUUAGUACCUGUGAAGAUGCAGGUUACCCGCGACAGGACGGAAAGACCCCAUGGAGCUUUACUGCAGUUUGAUAUUGAGUGUCUGUGCCACAUGUACAGGAUAGGUAGGAGCCUAUGAAAUCGGGACGCCAGUUUCGAUGGAGGCGUUGUUGGGAUACUACCCUUGUGUUAUGGCCACUCUAACCCGGUAGGUUUAUCAUCUACGGAGACAGUGUCUGACGGGCAGUUUGACUGGGGCGGUCGCCUCCUAAAAGGUAACGGAGGCGCCCAAAGGUUCC
rnacentral:rRNA from 1 species